AUGAGUCAAGAAGAACUGGUUGUGGCAACGUUUGGCUCUCAGGUUGCCGGUCUGAGAUACCUUAUCAGAAGCAAUAUGUAUUCAUUGCAGAAAAUUAAGAAAAUGCUGAAAUUGAGAGAAGGAAAAUUGCCUGUAAUCCCAGCUCCUAUAAUAACUAUUGAUGGCUUCAUAUAUAUCCUUCUAGUCCUUUUUCCUAUACAUAUAUACUUAAAUACUUCACAAAAUUGGAAUAGUAGCAUAAAUACUAUAUUACAACCUGCUUUUUCCACUAACACGUCCUGGACAUUUCCACAUAUCAAUAAAAUAAUCUGCCACAGCUUGAUUUUUCAUGGUUAUUUUAGCAUUAAUUUCAUUUGAUGGAAAUAUCAAAAUUUAUACCUAAUAGCCUACUGUUGAAUACAUGCUGUUUCUCCACCAUAAAUGAUGUCAUCUCUAAUGCUAAAUCUUGGCACAUAUGCCAAGUUAUUUUCUUAGGAUAAACUUCCAGUAAGGACAAUUGUUAGGGCUAUCAAAGGAAGAGGGCACUAGUGAAAACUUGAAACAAAAAGCAGGAUUUACUGUUUGUAAAGGAAGAGAAAAUUUUGCUUUGAGGCAGUCUUUCUGAACAAAGCAAAAGUUUGAAGGAAGCAUAGAAUCCAAGGAUUAAUGGAAUUUCAGGAGUGGGAAUUAAGAUUUUGGCUGACCUUAAAUUGAAGAGGUGUGGUUAUUAGAAUACAGCUAUUGCUGAUUGGAUGGCAGAAACAUGCAGCCAUCUCUGAUUGGUUGACUUUCAGAAUCGUGUGCCAUUUAUGACUGGCUGAUUCAGGAGCAUGAAUUUCAAUGUGAGGCUGAAGACAAGGUAGCCUGUCAGGUUUUAAAUCCUUUGUGCUGCUUAGUUGUUACGAUGGCUGAAGAACAAAUAGUCUAUUCUUAGAAAAGAGAGACUUUUAAUUUUCAAGUCAAAGGGCUAUAUUGCCAAACUAUUGGCACUAUAUUUAAAGCAACAUAUGCACAGACUUAAAAAAAAGCCUCUAGGAGGGAUUGAUACUGGUGGGAAGACCCGAAGCCUUGCUAUAGGAGGGAAAGUGUGAGGAAGGUGGUGGUGACUAGUUUGGAGUGGAGAAGACCAGGGCCGGCAUGAUCACCAACUUCAGUCUGUCACUACCCAAUGGUACAGUGGGCUUUUUUUUUUUCUUUCUUUUUUUUUUUUUAAGAUGGAAUCUCGCUCUCACCCAGGCUGGAGUGCAAUGGUACAAUCUCAGCUCACUGCAACAUCUGCCUCCUUGUUCAAGCGAUUCUCCUGUCUCAGCUCCUAUGUAGCUGGGACUACAGGCGCAUGCCACCAUGCCUGGCUAAUUUUUUGUAUUUUUAGUAGAGA
rnacentral:lncRNA from 13 species